rnacentral:rRNA from 1 species
GACAGAGGAGGCUAGCGUUGUUCGGAAUCAUUGGGCUUAAAGCGGGUGUAGGCGGCUGCGCAAGUGUCUUGUGAAAGCCCCCGGCUCAACCGGGGAAUUGCUGGGCAAACUGCGUAGCUUGAGGUCGGUAGGGGUGCCUGGAACUCUAGGUGGAGCGGUGAAAUGCGUAGAUAUCUAGAGGAACGCCAGAGGCGAAAGCGGGGCACUGGGCCGAUUCUGACGCUGAGAUCCGAAAGCGUGGGGAGCAAACAGGAUUAGAUACC